GAUCCCUAGAGAGAGGAGGGGCGCACGACAGCUUCUACUCCUUUUCAUUUUUUCUAAAAUCCCACGAGAGAAGACACGCCAAAAAGGAGGAGCGCCCACUUUUCCUUUCUUCUUCAUUUUUUGAUUUAGGUCACCUUGCUCAUCUACACCUCAAUCUCCCUCUCAGAUAUACACAAAAGAAAAAAUCAAAAGCAAUAUAAAUCAAAAGCAAAAUAAAUAAAUGUUGAGAUUCGAAAAGUGCAUCCCAAGUUUGAAAAUCAAAAGUCAAAAAAUGAAAAGAUAACAUGAAUUUUCAAUGGAAAUUUGAAAAGACUGAUUUCAGAACUCGAUUUCUCUCUUCCUGGGUUUUUUGAAAUUUGUUCGUGAGCUAUGGAAUUACCGUCUUGUCACUGACUUUUGCUGAUUCCGUGCUGCUAAGCUUUGUCCAGUUCUCCUCCCUUUGUUCAGUUCAGUUUGUUUUUCCUUGCUUGGCUACUGUCCAGGUAUUUUGGUUUUUCGAAAUUGUGUUUCUGCCUAAUAUUCAAAUUUUGGAAUUAUUAGAAUUUACAAAUACUAGAUCUGAGUUGAGUUGUAUGAAUGAUGUCUGCUUUUAAGUGUUGUAUUUGAAUUUAGACUCACAGUAUGAAUUCAACCAAAUUUAGGUGAUUCGAAUUCUGUUUCUUUUUAUCUUUAAUUUUGAGGUGGUUGAACUUGGAUAAUUUUGUAUUAAUGCUUGAGAUAGUUUUUAGUUGAUCUCUACUGCGUGCAAAUCAUUUUGAAAGACCAAUAAGUGUUCAGAAUAUAUCGGGCCAUGAAACGCACAUUUAGCAAUUUAAGCAUCGUGUUAAAGAGAACUCAUUUACUUUGUAUACUGGAUAACUUGACGUUGUGGACUCAAUUUUAAGCAAUAGAAUGCGUGUGGAAUUGUUGGUAUCUCUGUCUGUGAAAUCGAAUAAUUGCUGACGAGUUGUUAGAAAGAGGCCUCGUUGUAAACAGUAAUACACUUCAGCUACUAAAAUAUAAGAUUGUUGAGGAGUUGAAGCAUUUGAUGUCGUUGAACCAAUUUGAGAUUUAUUGUGUUUCUUUGGAAUAUGACAUGGAAUUGUUGAAAGAUUUCUCUUGACUUUGAGCACUGGAAGGGUAUCAGCUAAAUCUUGUUUGUUCACUGAAGUAGGUUUGAGUGCUUAAAUAUAGUUUGUUGCCUACGGGAAGUUAUCAUAUUGAUUUGGUGUUAGAAAUCAUAAGGUUGAAUCAUUGUUGAAACUGUUCUUGUUGGCAUGGCUGUAGGUCACUUUAUAAUCACUUUAUAAGUUGCAAUUCUGUUUGAGGUGGUAUGGAUGUUUAUUACAAGAUUUCCUUUGUGUUUGAAUAAAAAAUGCUAAUCUAAUCAUCUUUUAAAGUUUUCUCCGUUGGAUCAAGUUGCUGCCUAUGAUCACUUGCAGAUGAUUUUGGUUAAUUACAUUUCUUGGUCCAGUAAACCUUUUUAAUCUAGUUGCCAUUUGACCUCUAAAUAAAGCAUGGAGUCAAGUUGAAUUGGCGUGGUUGUGAUAACAAUCUUUAAACUAUAUAGUUUGCCUUAGAGAAAAAUACAAAUAUCUUUCUUUUUUAAAAAUAAAUCGAGGCGUGCCAUGCCCAUAUAAAAUUACAAAUUGCGUGGCACUCUUUAAUUGCUUACGUUAAAAUACUUAGAAAUUUGGGAUGUGCCAUUUAGCGAAUUUCGCGGCCUUCCCCAAAGUAAUAACGCGUUAGACUCUUUAGGCGCGUCUUUAAUAACAUUACAUUCCUAAAUAUGGGUGGGCAUUUUAUGCGGCCCAAGUCCAAAUCCUAAAAUGACGAAUAUAGUGUGCCUAGGGUUGCGGGUUCAUUUGAUGCGGCGCAAUCCGAAAACACACUUUAAACGGCGUUCACUAUCUCAAAGUAAAUAUAUAUAUUAAAUAAAAGUGGUUAAAAAGUAAAAAUUGGCACAUAUGCUCUUCAUGUAAUAAAAAUCAGAUUUUGGCCACUCACGGCAAUAUAAGCGACCGUGCUAGAACCACGGGAUCCGUGGGUACCUAAUACCUUCCCUCGGGUCAACAGAAUUCCUUAUUCAGAAUUUGUGGUUCGCAGACUCCAAUUGGGAACUCGAACAUUUUUCUCGAAUUGAGAUUCAAGCUAAGCCGGUGACUUGGGACACCAAAAGCCAAACCUUUCCUAAGUGGCGACUCUGAUAAAUAAAUAAUCCCGAUCCGAAUAAUAUCACUUUAAAUGGAAAAACUCCCUUAUACAUUAUCCUUCGGGGUAGGUGUGUAAAAAGGAGGUGUGACAGCAAACAUUUUCCUCGGAUUGGGAUUCAAGCUAAACUGGUGACUUGGGACACCAAAAGCCAAACUUUUUCCAAGUGGUGACUAUGAAUAAAUAAAUAAGCCCGAUCCGAAUAAUGUCACUUUAAAUGAAAAAACCCCCUUAUACAUUAUCCUCCGGGGUAGAUGUGUAAAGAGGAGGUGUGACAGCUCUGGCGACAAAUAUAUAUAUUUCCUUUCCUCUUUUAAAGCAUUUCUUUGAAAAAUUCCAAAAAAAAGAGUUAGUUUAUUUGCUCUAUUCCCAAUCUGAUCGAACUACGCGGGUCUAAUUCUCACCGGAUGUGAGAUAUAUCGGCAAACCCAUCGGUUCCGACCCCAAUUUUUAAAAAACCCCAAAAAAAAUUAUUUUCAUUACUUCAUUCUUUAGAGAAGUCUUUCUUUAAGACCCCAAUUUUCAAAAAAUCCAAAAAAAAAUAUUUUCCUUUUUUCCUUCUUUAGAAAAUUAAAAAAAAUCAGAAAUAAAAUAUAAAUUUUUUUUCCUUGUUUAGAAGUCUUUCUUUCGUAAAUGUGAAAAAGAAUUAUUGAAAAAUUGAAGUCAAAAAAUUAUUUUUGCUUUUCUUUAGAAGUACUUUUGUAAAUAAAUAAAAACGUAGAAAUCCAAAACAUUUUCUUAAAAUUCCCUCUUUCGAUAUUAAGAGGCAAUAUCCAAAAUCCAAAAAUAUUUUCUUUCUUCCUUAGAAAAGGUAAAACAAAUGAAAAUUCAAAAAAAAAUAUUUUUUUAUUUUACUUUUGAAAUUCCCAAUUUCAAAUCAAAAGCAAAUGAAUUUUAGAAGUUUUUCUUUCAAAAAACAACAACAACCCAUAAUCCCACUUAGUGGGGUCUGAGGAGGGUAGUGUAUACGCAGACCUUACCCCUACACUUGGAUAGACAGGCUGUUUCCAAAUAGACCCCCGACAUCCUUCCCUCCAAGAACUUCCCACCUUGCUCUUUGGGAGACUCGAGCUCACAACCUCUCGGUUCGAAGUGGGGGUUGCUUACCAUCAGAGCAACCCCUUUUGUUUUGCUUUUUCUUUCAAAAAAGCAAAACAAAAAUCAAAAUAAAAAAUCAAAAACAAAAUAUAUUUCUUUUCUUCUUUUAAAAGCAUUUCUUUUAAAAAUUUAAAAAAAAAGAGUUAGUUUAUUUACCUUAUGUUUCCGAACUACGCUGGUUUGAUUCUCACAGGGUGUGGGAUAUGUAGGCAACCUUAUCGGGUCCAACCUCCCCUUUGCAAAAAUAGCCAAAAAUGUCAAAUUUUUUAAUUUUUGUCAUAAAUAAGUCGGGUGAUGUCAUUCUUAUUUAAAACAAGCUGAAUGUCCCCGAAAGGGCGCCGGAAGGCUGUUUUUGCAAGAACAGCCACCAUGUGUCAUUUGUAAAUAGUUUGCGGGCACAAAUCUUCCUCCAGAAGUGCUGAAAGGCCGUAUCGGCAAAACCAAGUCCCUGUUUUUCUAAACAAAGAAAUUUUGGAAGAAUAACCACUUUUCCUUUUAAGUCAAAUAAAUCAUUAAAAUGCUCCUUAAAUGUCUUUUGUAAAUAGAAAAUAAAAGAAAAAUAAAAAUUUUGAAAAGGAAAUUUUGAAGUAUUUCUUUCAAAAAUAAAAAUCAAAAAUCAAAAAUAAAAAUAUUCUCCUUAAAGCAUUUCUUUCAAAAUUCCAAGUUAACUUCUUUACCUUAUUGUCACGAACUACCCUCAUCGGAUUCGACCGUAGCCAUAAGAGAAAAUCAAGGAAAAACCAUGCAAAAAGAACUGGAAAAGCAAAAAAUGAGAAAAACACCAUCAAUAUUUCGUAAACCCUUUGAGCCGGUUACCUUUCUUUGAUUACCCUAUUUGGAACCCGAAAAUGCUAUUGAAAAAAAAAAGGAAUAAAAAGAAAAGAAAAGAAGAGAAAAGAAAAAGAAAGGAAAAGAAAAUGGAAUAAGAAAAAAAAAGAGAAAAAGAAAAAGAAAAGAAACAAAAAAGAAAAGAAAAGAAAAACAAAACUGAAACAAAAAUAAAAAGAAAAAAUAUUUUCCUGAACUACCUUUGACUUGAUUACGAAAGGAUACAUAGGCAGCCUCUCCCUGAGGUUCAGUCACACCAAAACAAAAAUCCCAAUUCCCCCCAAAAAGUUAAACUCGGGCAGAUGAUAUAAUGGUUCAGCCAAGAGACAUCGGAAAUGGUUCCAAAGUUGUAGUUUUGCCCAAAAUCCUUUUACCCUAAAGACCUUGUCCAAGUCCUUUUGAUCAAUUGGCAAAGACAGGAAAGUGGGAAAUGUCAUUGUUAGAAUCUGAUAUAAUUCAAAUUGAGAGAAAUGAAAUGAGAGAGUCUUAUCGGUGAAAACCUUCGGCCGCCAUAAGGCGACGAUGAGUAGAGAAAACAAAAACGAGAGAGUCGGCUUAGUGAAAAUUCGCAAAGAGCACGGGCGACGGUGAGAAGAGAAAUUAGAGAGGUCGCACGGGCGAAAACCCGCAAAGGUCACUGUCGGUCGAAAAGAGGAUACUUCAUCACUAAAAGUCUUGACAAGGUUCCCUAGUUUAGAAAUAUGGGUCAAUGGGUUCCUAAGAAGUUAGAAGUUGGUGGGGGUCGGGUGUCCAGUCCAAGAAGCAUGUCAUGUUCAUUUGGAGCCAACAUGCACCCCGGAUAAGUCCUUUUCCCCGAAAGGGACGCUUCUCUUUAAACUCAUAUGCUUGCCUUUUGCAUACUUUUCUUUGAAUCCCUUUCGGUUUAACUCUGACUCCAUAACAAUUACAAAAAAAGGUGGCAGGACAGGUUUCACAGCGCUCCGCCGGCAAGAAUCAAAGGAAGUACCUAGCCUCAGAGGUGCGUCAGUCCAAUCCCGACUGAUCAUGGUGGUCGAUUGCUUCCAAAGUAAAAGCCAUUAGAAAGGAAAGGAAAAUCAAAGGCAAAGGUCUUGAAAGCAGAAUAAAGUAAGAAGACAGAGCCCACACGGGCGAGUUAACAUAAAAUCCUAAGGCUGAAUCCGGUCAGUGUGAAAGAAAGUCACCCUCAAAGCCAACAAGCAGCAAACUUCUCAAUGGAAAUGGGGCCGGGGUCAAGCGAUGAAGAUGAUCAAGGCCACAAAACCAACCACCGUUUCAACUAACAAAUUGUUCUUUGAUGAAAACAGGUUUUAUUCAGAAUAGCUGUCCAUGAAGCAGGUGCAACCCAAAAGAAACAAAAUGCGCAAGUGUUGAAACAGCUCUGCAGCAGGAAAAACGACCAAAAAGGAAGGUUUCUCAAACAUUCUUUCAUGCAUCCUGAUAAAUAAAAAGGAAUAACAUCUAAAAAGAUAACCCAAAAAAGGAUGAAGGAAAGAAAUGGAAAAUAUGAAUCCCAAAAGAGAAUCAAAUCAUGGUAGUUAUAACUUUUUCUUUUCUAAAUCCUGGCAAAAAAAUCGAGGAUCUCCCGGCCAAAAAUCGUAGAACUUUUUCUUUUCCAAAUCCCGGCCAAAAAAUCGAGGAUCUCACGGCCAAAAAUCGUGGAGCUUUUUCUAUCCAAAUCCCGGCCAAAAACUGUGGAGUUUUUUUUUUAUCCAAAUUCCGGCCAAAAAACCGAGGAUCUCCCUGGCACAACCCAAGGAGCUUUUUCUUUUCAAAUCCCGGCAUAACCCUUGGAUCUCCCUGGCAUAACCCAAGGAGCCUUUUCUUUCCAAAUCCCGGCAUAACCCGUGGACCUUUCCCGGCCAAAAGACCGAGGAUCUCCCUGGCAUAACCCAAGGAGCUUUUUCCUUUCAAAUCCCGGCAUAACCGGUGGAUCUCCCUCACAUAACCCAAGGAGCCUUUUCUUUUCAAAUCCCAGUAUAACUCGUGGACCUUUUCCGGCAUAACCCGUGGACCUUUUCCGGCAUAACCCGAGGACCCCUCUCUCUUUUCCGGCAUAACCCCGUCAUUUCUUAAGCAUAAACUGAAUUCAUUCACAAAGAUACACAAUCCUGAUUUGACUGCUUAGAUAUGUGUCACAACUAACUCAUGAAAUUUUUCUAGCAAAAACUGUGACAGAAAAUUUCGUUUGUUUGUUUGUUUUGGUAUCUUAAGCAGGUUGACCUCAAAACACAAGAUUCGAGAUGACCAAAAGAAUGAGUCUCAAUCUAGAAUAAAGAAAAGAAGAAAAGAACAAAAAGAAGUGAACUUAAAGUGCUGAAGUGGAGAAGGACGCGGAAUGCUCAAGAUAUUAUUGAAGUCACAGAAGAAGAAAAGAACAAAAGAAGUGAACUUAAAGUGCUGACGCGGAGAAGGACGCAGACUGCUCAAGAUAUGAUUGAAGUCACAAGCUUCGCAUGUCCCGCCUUGAUUCAAAGCUUAAGAAUGCACCAGCGGCAACUGCUGACAAGCAUCAAGAUUCAGAUCAAAGUCUGCCUCAAGGACCAGCCAAGACUCAGGAUCAAGUUUCAAGAGAUUUAUAGAUAAGAAUUUUGUAACUCGUAUUUGAUAGGGUUAGCUAGCUUAGCUUUUGAUUUUUCUUUUUGGUGUAAUAAGGAGGUCAACAAGCAGUAGCAGCGGCAACAGCGGUGAAGUCACAGCUCCUGGUAGUCCCCAGCUACCAAAUACUUCUGAACUGCACCUGACCUGAUUCCUUUAUAGCCAAGAAUAUGUAGGCAAUCUUUGAAGCAAGGUUCGGU
rnacentral:lncRNA from 1 species